UACGAAGGGGGGCAAGCGUUGUCCGGAUUUAUUUGGGCGUAAAGAGCGUGUAGGCGGCCAUACAGGUCAGCUGUGAAAACUCGAGGCUCAACCUCGAGACGUCGGUUGAAACCGUUUGGCUAGAGUCCGGAAGAGGAGAGUGGAAUUCCCGGUGUAGCGGUGGAAUGCGUAGAGAUCCGGAAGAACACCAGUGGCGAAGGCGGCCCGCUGGGCAGUGGCUGACGCUGAGGCGCGACAGCGUGGGGAGCGAACAGG
rnacentral:rRNA from 1 species